AGAGUAUUAUAUUCCUUGUACUUAACAUUCCAGAGGCGCACUUUUUGUAUUUGUUUAUUCUCUUUUAAAAAUAAUUAAUAAAAUUAACGUAACUUUACCAACUUUUUAUAAGUUUGGAUGUAUCUAUCAAAUACGUCCACGCCGUCAUUUGACUGACAGUAUCCCGAUGACACUUAUCUCCUUCACAAUAGCAGCCUCAACUAGAAAGAGAGUAGUCUCACAAAGAUUUGUUGCCACUGAAGAGCACCGAGUAGAGACAGAACAAAUUUUGAUAGAGAAUCAGACAACACUAGUUCAUAUCUUAUAGCUAAUGAAUGAGAUAUGACUAAAUUAAAGUCAGCCAUUGUACGAU